GGCGGGGUAAGCAACUUGGCGUAGCUACCGGAGUUCGCAACUCCGGGUAACAGGGUUCGACCCCCUGCCCCGCCU
rnacentral:tRNA from 1 species